UGCGAGAUAGAGCAGUUGGUCAGCUCGUUGGUUUAACUUGCCAAAGGUCACAGGUUCGAGUCCUGUUCUCGCUACAA
rnacentral:tRNA from 1 species